AGAGUUGAUCAUGGCUCAGGAUGAACGCUAGCUACAGGCUAACACAUGCAAGUCGAGGGGCAGCGGAGAGAAGCUUGCUUUCUGCCGGCGACCGGCGCACGGGUGAGUAACGCGUAUCCAACCUGGCCCACAGUAGGGAAUAGCCCGGCGAAAGUCGGAUUAAUGCCCUAUGUUCUUCACGGAUGGCAUCUGAUGUGAAGCAAAGGUUCACCGCUAUGGGAUGGGGAUGCGUCUGAUUAGCUUGUCGGCGGGGUAACGGCCCACCGAGGCUACGAUCAGUAGGGGUUCUGAGAGGAAGGUCCCCCCACAUUGGUACUGAGACACGGACCAAACUCCUACGGGAGGCAGCAGUGAGGAAUAUUGGUCAAUGGGCGAGAGCCUGAACCAGCCAAGUAGCGUGCAGGACGACUGCCCUAUGGGUUGUAAACUGCUUUUAUAGGGGAAUAAAGUGAGGUAUGUAUACCUUUUUGUAUGUACCCUAUGAAUAAGGACCGGCUAAUUCCGUGCCAGCAGCCGC
rnacentral:rRNA from 1 species